CGCUGGAGGGGUGGGGUAGAGGUUCUUAGGUUUGGUCUUCGGAAUCGGGGAGAAGAGAAAGCAGAUUGGAGAAAGACGGAAUUGAGGGAUUUGCCUCCCGCCCCCUCCCCUAGGCGACAGAGACAUCCCGGCAGCUGGAAGGGCACAGCCCCUCGCCCCGCGCUCUCUCAGCAGUUGCAGAAUCGGGAGAGCAGCCCCCGAGGCGGAGCCUCCCUUCUGCCCUGGUUACCGCUGCCCCCACCUGGGGGAGAGAGGCCGGCGCCGUGCUGCCUCCCUCAGCGCCCCGGCCGCGUGGCUUGCGGCUUAUUUUCCCAGCUGGCAAGCGUCGCGCUGCAGACAAGGGAAUGCCUGUGGUCCUGUGCGUUACGGAACUCAGACACCCCUCGAUACUGCCAAGUCCUCUCCAGGAGCGGAAGGGUUAAGAAUGAUGAGGGGAAAUGUCGAAGGAACAGGAACAUCCGAGCCUCGCAGAGCUGCCAGCGAAUUACGCCGGGAGCGGGCAAGUACCUUCCCAGCCCAUCUGAUCUGCUCUGGACCGCGCGAGUCACAUUGGGAUUUCCAACGCAACUGGGUGCUAGCUUUACUAAAGGUCCCCAACAGGCUCGGAACGCGGUUCCCAGAUGUGAUUGGCUGCGAAGGGACCCGCCGCCCGGGCGGCGAAGGGCCCCGCCGCACGGCUCUGAGUAAAAGGGCGGCUUGAGCUGGAGGGCCGGGGGCCGGGGGAGGGGAUGAUUAAAAAAAAAAAAAUUAGUAAAAAGUCUUGGGAGGAAUUUGAACCUGAUCACAUUAAUUCAAGGAGAGCUCAAAGGCCAGUUUCUUUACAACGAAGGCUAGAGAGAGUUCUAGUCGGAACUGUUUCUAUCGGAAAUCGCAGAGGGGGUGGAGAGGAGGAGAGUUGAGGAGGGAGCGGGAGAGAGGCUUGGUCCCGGCGAAACAGGACUAGCAGCCGGCAGACGCGGAACUCGAAUUACGCUGGGCUGGCUGGCCGCAGGAGGAGGUGUGGGGGGCGGGCUCUUUGGGCCCUACGACUGGCCGGCUGAGGCCAAAGCACCCGCCUCUCAGCCCAUGGAGCCGGAGGGGGGGGCG
rnacentral:lncRNA from 1 species